rnacentral:rRNA from 1 species
UACAGAGGGUGCGAGCGUUGUUCGGAAUUAUUGGGCGUAAAGAGCGCGUAGGCGGUCCGGUAAGUCAGCUGUGAAAGUCAAGGGCUCAACCCUUGAAAGCCGGUUGAUACUGUCGGGCUAGAGUCCGGAAGAGGCGAGUGGAAUUCCCGGUGUAGCGGUGAAAUGCGCAGAUAUCAGGAGGAACACCGGUGGCGAAGGCGGAUCUCUGGGCCUGUCCUGACGCUGAGGCGCGAAAGCUAGGGGAGCGAACAGG